CAUUUCUCUGUCAGAAGCCACUAGUCGGCGAUAUAUUGCCUGCAGGUUUGGUGAAAAUGUAAGCUCACUGCCUAUUUUCAAACAGUAAAUUAAGUACCAAUGGGUUACGUCACUCCUUCUGUCAGGGAGGGGGAAGGAGUGAGUGGACUCUACCUUCCCUGUCAGCAUUACAUUAUCAGUCCAGAAACUGAUAAAGAUUGAUAUAGCAGUUUUGAAUACUUUAUUUUAGAAAUAUAUGAUGC